AUUGAACGCUGGCGGCAUGCCUUACACAUGCAAGUCGAACGGCAGCACGGGAGCAAUCCUGGUGGCGAGUGGCGAACGGGUGAGUAAUAUAUCGGAACGUGCCCAGUCGUGGGGAUAACGUAGCGAAAGCUACGCUAAUACCGCAUACGAUCUACGGAUGAAAGCGGGGGAUCGCAAGACCUCGCGCGAUUGGAGCGGCCGAUAUCAGAUUAGGUAGUUGGUGAGGUAAAGGCUCACCAAGCCAACGAUCUGUAGCUGGUCUGAGAGGACGACCAGCCACACUGGAACUGAGACACGGUCCAGACUCCUACGGGAGGCAGCAGUGGGGAAUUUUGGACAAUGGACGCAAGUCUGAUCCAGCCAUUCCGCGUGCAGGAUGAAGG
rnacentral:rRNA from 1 species